UGAACUAUGAUGACUCACCAACUGUCGGGCUGUAGAUGGAGAUGCUCGAAAUUACUCAUGUUGUUGGAACUGAGCACCUGCACCUACAUUAUGAGAUAAUGUAACACAUAGACGUAUAUGUGGAUCAGUACUUUUAGGAUGUACUGAGUAUAUGACUGCAAGCAUAAUUGAUAAUGCCUAGUGGUAAAAAAAUGACACCUUAGUUUAAUGGAUGGGAAUGUGUAAAUGAUUUUAAUUGAGCUUAAUGGGGUUGUGUAGCUCACGCUGAAGGUCUAAGUCUCAGGGAAGACGAAUACCGAAAAUUACAUUUACUGACGUGGGGGUCUUUAUGGUCGUGUGCAUAGUUCACACUUGAUAUGUUUAUAUCUUAGAUUGGUAUGGGGUCAUGGAUUCCCUGACCUUCUUUGGAUUUCCUGGUUCUUGCGGCUACACGCAUUAGUGCCCUUCCGAUGGGAGGAGCCGGACCUGUUAUCCUGUGGGUGUCUUUAGUUUGGUUGGAGAUACACACUCCACGAUAAUGUGUUAAAUCUCAUGCUAAGCCCUAUUCCCUAUCCCAACAUUUUAUAUAUCUGUAUAUAUGCAUGUAUGUGAACAUGUACAUUGAGUAUGGACUUGAUUUUUAAAUAACAUUACUUUAUUCCUAUCCCGAGUUACAUGCUAGAGAUCUCCUCGCUAACCAUCCUAAGAUGCUAUAUUGUUUUAUAAUGUAUGGUCCGAGGAUACCUCUUUUGCCCAUGUGCAGCGUUAGGUGACCGGGUUCGUCAGUUGGUUCGCGGUGAAGUGGUGAAUUUCCAUCCUCCGAAAAACUUAGCCAUUCCAUCGAUUUAUUUCCAUAUUAUAGAAUUAAAGAGUUCACAUUAACAUUAUCAUUAUAAUUGUCACUAUCAUGGUCAGGGGCAUGUCCCGAUCUAGUUUGAUAUUCGGAUUGUUUUAGAGACUUUUGUGAAAAACUAUGGAUUGGGAUAUUUGUUUGGAAUCGUAGAAUCUUUGUCUUGGUGUAUUUAUCUUUUAUAUGUUUGUUUGGAUUGCUUUCACUAUUAUACUAUAUUGUGUUCAGAUUGGCUAGGCUCAGUGGGUGGCUUUCUGUCCUCGGUGGACUUGAGAUACCCGUCACGACUAGGCCCUGAUUUGGGUCGUGACAGUAAGGGUUGUUAAAACUCAAUUGAUUUUUCAUAGAGUUCAAAUGCUUUACAGACAUCACAAAUUAUUUUUAAUUGCCUUGAUAGAUCCUUUCGAAGACAUAAGGAAAAUUCAAGAUACAAAAGAAGGUUGGGGAUGCAGUAUGUGAAUUAUAAUCAAAAUGGUCAGAUAUAGUUUUUUGUGCAAGAGCAUAUUCAAGUGGGAGUGAUUAUCGAUUUUGAGCAACAACUUUCAUUACACCUCACAGUGGAAUAUGAUAAGUAGACGAUGACUACAGUGGUAUAUUAUACGUUAGAGAGUUUAGUCUGUGCGAUGAUUUGUAUGCCAUUGGGUACAAUCUUUCCUUUCCUUGGUUAUAGGGGCAGAGUUGAAUGUCAUUUUAUAUGAUGAAGAAAAAUUGGUGGGCUACCUGUAUAUCCUUUCACAUUUGAGGACUUCAGCUUCUGUAUAAAUUAUUGUGAGUUAUUUGAGAUUACCGUCACUGGGAACCCUUUCACCUGGUUGAAUGGUAGAGCUGAUGAAGAAUAUAUUUUCAAAACUCUAGAUAGAAUCAUGAUUUAGGCUGUAUAGGACAUAUUUGGGAAUAUAAAAUGUAAUAUUUGGCUAUAACUGAGUCUGAUCAUGCCCCUUUAAUGCUCAAGGAGAAAUUCAGUAAUUCUCAAAACCUCUUAGGUUUUUUAAGUUCUGAAUAGAAAAAGAUGACUUAAAGGAGGGCCUAUUUGAUGAACAACCAAAUGCAACGAAUAUGGCUAUUUUAUAACAUAUACAAAUUGAACUAAAGUAGUAUCUCCACUGUAAGGAGGAAUUUUUCAUACAAAUGGAUAGAAUCCAGUGGUUCACUAAAAGGGGAUAAAAAUAUAAAUUUUUUCCAUUGUCUGGUGAAAGAAGAAGAAAUAAAUUACAAUUGAAGAGAAGUUUAAAGCAUGAUGGUACUUAGGCUGAAGAAGAUGAGCAGAUUGCUAAUGAAGCAAUGAAUUUUUUCCAAAACCGAUUCUCAGGAGAGCUCUUUACUUACGAACAUUGUUAUAACAUAUCCCAUCAUUAAUUAUUAAAAAAGGUAACAUUAUGCUCAUGUAACGCCCCAAAAAUGGGUCCCGAGAUGUCACACCGUGCUCAAGACUACGAGUAGCCUUAAGCUAACCUUGUUAGCCUUCUACCAAGUUUGAAUCUCAUAAUAAGGUAGUAUAGAUAUCAAAAUCAUACUGAAAGCGGAAACUAUCUGAAUUUAAUAUCCGAAAAUAAUGUCUGGAACCUUAAUACUGAAUAAUCUGAAUAAAAACUAGUAGUCUGACAAUCCUCUACUACUAAUAAAUAGAGAGCCAUUGGGAUACACCCCCAGCUGACUCGAACUGUCUAAAAAGAAUGCUGAAUCAUCUAAGCUGAAAAUCUGAAUAACUAAGUCCCCGAACUAUGAUGACUCACCAACUAUCAGACUGUAGAUACUCGAAAUUACUCAUGCUGUUGGAACUGAGCACCUGAACCUACAUUAUGAGACAAUGUAACACAGACGUAUAUGUGGAUUAGUACUUUUAGGAUGUACUGAGUAUAUGGUUGCAAGCAUAAUUGAUAAUGCCUAGUGGUAAAAAAAUGACACCUUAGUUUAAUGGAUGGGAAUGUGUAAAUGGUUUUAAUUGGGCUUAAUGGGGUUGUGUAGCUCAAGCUGAAGGUCUUAGUCUCAGGGAAGAUGAAUACUGAAAAUCACAUUUACCGAUGUGGGGGUCUUUAUGAUCUUGUGCAUAGUUCACACUUGAUAUGUUUAUAUCUUAGAUUGGUAUGGGGUCAUGGAUUCCCUGACCUUCUUUGGAUUUCCUGGUUCUUGCGGUUACACGCAUUGGGGCCCUUCCAAUGGGAGGAGCCGGACCUGUUAGCCUGUGGGUGCCUUUAGGUUGGUUGGAGAUACACACUCCAGGAUAAUGUGUUAAAUCUCAUGUUAAGUCCUAUUUCCUAUCUCAACAUUUUAUAUAUCUGUAUAUAUGCAUGUAUGUGAACAUGUACAUUGAGUAUGGACUUGAUUUUUAAAUAACAUUACUUUAUUCCUAUCUCGAGUUACAUGCUAGCGAUCUCCUUGCUAACCAUCCUAGGACGCUACAUUGUUUUAUAAUGUAGGGUCCGAGGAUACCUCUUUUGCCCAUGUGUAGCUUUUGGUGACCGGGUUCGUCAGUUGGUUCGCGGUGAAGUGGUAAACUUCCAUCCUCCAAAAAACUUAGCCAUUCCAUCGAUUUAUUUCCAUAUUAUAGAAUUAAAGAGUUCACAUUAGCAUUAUCAUUAUAAUUGUCACCAUCAUGGUUGGGGGCAUGUCCCGAUCUAGUUUUAUAUUCAGAUUGUUUUAGAGGCUUUUGUGAAAACCUAUGGAUUGGGAUAUUUGUUUGGAAUCGUAGAAUCUUCGUCUUGGUGUAUUUAUCUUUUAUAUGUUCGUUUGGAUUGCUUUCACUAUUAUACUAUAUUGUGUUCUGAUUGGCUAGGCUUAGUGGGUGGCUUUCUGUCCUCGAUGGACUUGAGAUACCCGUCACAACUAGGCCCUGAUUCAGGUCGUGAUAGUAAGGGUUGUUAAAAUUCAAUUGAUUUUUCAUAGAGUUCAAAUGCUUUACAGACAUCACAAAUUCUUUUUAAUUGCCUUGAUAGAACCUUUCUAAGACAUAAGGAAAUUCAAAGAUACAAAAGAAGGUUGGGGAUGCAGUAUGUGAAUUAUAAUCAAAAUGGUCAGAUAUAGUUUUUUGUGCAAGAGCAUAUUCAAGUGGGAGUGAUUGUCAAUUUUGAGCAACAACUUUCAUUACACCUCACAGUGGAAUAUGAUAAGUAGACGAUGACUACAGUGGUAUAUGCCAAAUAUUAUACUUUAGAGAGUCUAGUCUAUGCGAUGAUUUGUAUGCCAUUGGGUACAAUCUUUCCUUUCCUUGGUUAUAGGGGCAGAGUUGAAUGUCAUUUUAUAUGAUGAAGAAAAAUUGGUGGGCUACCCGUAUAUCCUUAUGCAUUUGAGGACUUUAGCUUAUGUAUAAAUUGUGAGUUUUUUGAGAUUAGUGUCACCGGGAACCCUUUCACCUGGAUGAAUGGUAGAGCUGAUGAAGAAUAUAUUUUCAAAACGCUCGACAGAAUCAUGAAUUAGGCUGUAUAGGACAUAUUUGGGAAUAUAAAAUGUAAUAUUUGACUAUAACUGAGUCUGAUCAUGCCCCUUUAAUGCUCAAGGAGAAAUUCAGUAAUUCUCAAAACCUCUUAGGUUUUUAAAGUUCUGAAUAGAAAAAGAUGAUUUUAAAAAGUGGUUAGGCAUAUUCGGAGGGCAGAUGAAUAUGGGGAUUGCUUCAAAAGAUUGAAAUACAAGCAGAAGAGAGCUAAAUAUGCACUGUCUAAGUGGAGUAGAGACAUCUUUGGGGAUCUAUUUAAACAACUAAGCAUCAGGGAAGAGAUUGUGAAGUUAAAGGAGGGCCUAUUUGAUGACAACCAAGUGCAACGAAUAUGGCUAUUUUAUAGCAUAUACAAGUUGAACAAAAGUAAUAUCUCCACUGUAAGGAGGAAUUUUUCAUACAAAAGGCUAGUAUCCAGUGGUUCACUAAAAGGGGAUAAAAAUAUAAAUUUUUUCCAUUGUCUGGUGAAAGAAGAAGAAAGAAAUUACAAUUGAAGAGAAGUUUAAAGCAUGAUGGUACUUGGGUUGAAGGAGAUGAGCAGAUUGCUAAUGAAGCAAUGAACUUUUUCCAAAACCGAUUCUCAGGAGAGCUCUUUACUGACGAACAUUGUUAUAACAUAUCCCAUCAUUAAUUAUUAAAAAAGAUAACAUUAUGCUCAUGUAACGCCCUAAAAAUGAGUCCCGAGACAUCACACGGUGCUCAAGACUAUGAGUAGCCUUAAACUAACCUUGUCUACCUUCUAUUAAGUUUGAAUCUCAUAAUAAGUAAUAUAGAUAUCAAAAUCAUACUGAAAGCAGAAACUAUCUGAAUGUAAUAUCCGAAAAUAAUGUCUGGAACCUUAAUACUGAAUAAUCUGAAUUAAAACUAUCAAGACUACGAGUAGCCUUAAGCUAACCUUGUCUGCCUUCUACUAAGUUUGAAUCUCAUAAUAAGGUAAUAUAGAUAUCAAAAUCAUACUGAAAACAGAAACUAUUUGAAUGUAAUAUCCGAAAAUAAUGUCUGAAACCUUAAUACUGAAUAAUCUGAAUUAAAACUAGUAGUCUGAUAAUCCUCUACUACUAAUAAUAAAUCGAGGGGCAGAGUAGAAUAACUUUAACAUACAAAUUUGAUGCCUCAAGUUACACAGUUAGAUUCGCUGAACAGAUUCGUAAUUUCUCCUCCAAAGGCUAGAUAGACGGAAAGAAUGAUCCUCAUUUAGAUGACUAUUAGAGAUAUUGUCUUGUUGCUGGAAAAAAGGCCCUCAAUGAUGGAAAACAAAAUUUGGGUCAGGUUAUGGGUUGGUCCAAAUUGGUGGGUCGGGUUAUGGGUUGGUCCAAAUUGGUGGGUCGGGUUAUGGGUUGUAACGGAGGGUAUAUUUGGACCUUUUUGCAAGGUUAAGGGGUAUAUUUGCUCUUAAACUUUAAGAGCGAGAGCAUAUUUGGGCCAAACUUGUAACAGAGGGUAUAUUUGGACCUUUUCGCAAAGUUUAGGAGUAUAUUUGCUCCUAAACUUUAACAGCAAGGGCAUAUUUAGACCAAACUUGUAACGGAGGGUAUAUUUGGACCUUUUUGCAAAGUUAAGAGGUAUAUUUGACCCUUUACCCUUUGUAAAAUAAUGCAUGCCAAAUGUAAAUGACUCACAUAAGCUGGAAUAUCUGAAAUACUGAAAUCUAUAAUCAUGAAUAACAAAUAAUUAGUGAGUCAUAACAUUUAGUUCUAAAAGUCGUACUAGUAUUAUGUCUGUAAAUCAUGCUGCCUAAGUGUAGAAAGGACUCACUUCUGUAUCUGAAAUCUGAAAGCUGAAAUCUAUAGCUAAUAUCUUUUGGUAAAGCAUAAUCUGAAUAAAGUUGUGAGCCUUUACACGUAGUUUUCUAAAAGUUUUUUUAUUACUAGUAGGAAGAAUACUUUAUCUAAAGGGAGGUUCUUCUAACCGACAUAAACCAUGUGAGCUAACAUGGAGUCCAACGUCUUGCUCCCCUAUGGGGAAAACCUCACGAUAGGGAGAGGUGUCAACUCUUGCCAAGGAGUAUAACCUAAUCUAAGUGAUCAUAUAUGUGUCUGUCAUCCAUAUAGAAAUGGGAAUAAUCUGAAUCUGUACCUACGUUGGCUACGUAGUUCUGUGGAAAAUAGGGCACGCUAAUCCCACACUUCUAGCUCAGUGCUAAAUACUACUCCCUUUUAAUCUGUAUGCACAUUCUGUUGGAAAUCCACUUUAAAAGCUAGCAUAAGGGUUAUUACAGAACCAAUUAUGCAUUUAUCUGAUUCAACCUGUGAGUAAAACUAUUCUGAUUUUUGAAAUUUGUAAUAAAUCUGUAAAGUGGAUUCCAAAUCUUAUCUGAGGAUCAAAAGAUCAAGGCUUUUUGAAAAUCUGAAAAUAAACUGAUCAUCUAAUGCUUAAAGCGUGAUCUUUCUUGAAAUAAUAAUAUUCAAUCUAGGGAUGAUAACCUAUGCAUCAAUCUCAUGUCAAAACAUCAUAAUAAUCAUGCUUGGUAAUGAAAACAAUGAUAGUUCAUCUCAAAAUCUGGAAAUUACUGCAAUAGGCAUGAAAAUAUGAAAAUAGUCAUGCAAUUCAACUUCUAAAAAACUUGAAAUCUCUUAAUCUUGCAAUUAGCAAUCCUAAUUCAAAAAACUCAUGUAUAAUCAUUCAAAAUCAUAUAAAUUUAAAAUAAAAGCUUGGUUUUGGGAACAAGGAUAAAAGAGGAUCCUUGUUUAUAAACCCUACAUACCUUAAUUGAUGAAAUUUCUAAGAAAGCUUGAACUUGAAUCUCUAUUUGAGCCUUUGAAGAUGAACUCUUGGUUCUCUUGAUUUGAGAAUCCUCAAUUUUGAGUUUUCUUGGAGAAACAAUGGAGGAAAUUGAUUUCUUGGAGAGUAAGGUUUUGAACUUUAGGGUUUUCCUUUGAGAGAGAAUGGAUGAAAAUAAACAUAAAGUGCUUAGAAUAGACUUAAUUCCUUGUUUUGGACGAAUUGGGGCUUGGGAUUUGACCAAAGUACCCCUCUUAAAAUUUAAUCGGAACUGGAAAAAAGAUAAAUUUUCCGAAUUUGCAUGCCACUGCAACGCUCCACUAUCGCGGUGGAUCAUUGGAAUUUGACAACUGAAAACUGGACAUUCUACGCGACGCGGAGCUAUCGCGGUGCACUACUGAAAUGCCAUUUUGGCCAUCACCGUGACGUGCCACUAUCGCAGUGAGCCACUGGAAAUUGACAAUUGGGAAAUAAGGCUUCACCACGACACGGGCUUAUCGCAGAGGUCCACUUAAACCAAACAAUUGCCAUUUUGCAAGUAACCGCGGCGUGAUGCUUCUCCAGUUGGGAUACUACUUUACUAAAAAUGCCAUAACUUCUCAACCGAGUAUCGGAUUUGGGAGAAAUUGGUAUUGAUGGAAAGCUUAUUCAAUUAUAUACACAAUGGUUUCACAUGUAACAAAAAUUAUUCAUUUUUAAAGCUAGCCUUUGACAUUCUAGGUGUUAAAUUGAGAUGGAAAAGUACGGGGUAUUACAGCCCAACGGAUUACCUACAAAUGUAAAGAUCAGAAGGACAAUAUUUGAGUUAAAUGGUGAUAGUGCAUGUGGUCUUGAUGGUUUCAUUGGUUGAUUCUAUCAGAAUUGUUGGGAUAUUGGUGGGGGAGAUAUUAGUGACAUUGUUCAUGCUUUCAUAAAAGGCUCCACUUUACCUAAAUCAAUUUCUCACACUAAUUUGGCGUUACUGCCUUAGAAAGAUGUCAUUCAUAUAUUUUCAAACCUAAGACCAAUUAGCUUUAAGUAAAUUUUGGAAUAAAGUAAUCUCCAGUCUUUCGUAUGAUAGGAUGGACCUUUUCUUCUAGGCUGAUUUCACAUUUCGCAGAACCAAUCAAACUUUGUGAAUGGAAGGAGCAUCACUAAAAAUAUUUUAUUAGCUCAAGAGAUUAUUUCUAAUAUUAGAAAAAAAGGAAACCAACAAAUAUAGUCAUUAGGCUUGACAUGGUAAAGACUUAUGACAAAGUUGAAUGGAAAUUUUUGAUUAAAGUCUUGGAAAAAAUAGGUUUAAUAAAAUAAUUAUGGAUAAGAUUUGGAGAAUUGUGGCUGAUAAUUGGUAUUCUAUUCUAAUUGUUGGACAAGCUCGUAAUUUUUUCCAUUCCACCGAAGGUGUCAAAUAAGGGGAUCCUUUAUCCCCUUUAUUAUUUAUUUUGUCUGUUGACGUGUUAUCUAAAACCACGAAUCAACUAUUUUAUAGUAGAGAAUUCAAGGGUAUUGGAAUACAUAAAUGGAGUGAAAGUUUAAAUCACAUGACCUAUGUUGAUGACAUGAGAAAGUCAUUACAAUUAAAUUUGAAGGUUUUGGAUCAAUAUUAAAUGUAGUCAAGUCAGAAAAUCAACUAAGAAAAACAUUUUUUCUUUAUGUAUAGGUAGGCUGCAACUAAUGUUGUCCAAGAAGUGGAGGUUGUAACUAGUUUUAUAGGGGUAAAUUCCCAAUGAUGUAUUUGGGGUUUCCUAUUGGUCAUGCAAGAAGCAAGACUUUGUUGAACUUAUCAAGAAGAUGCAGAAUAACUGAAUGUAUGGAAAGGUAAGUUACUAUCAUUUGGUGGAAAAUCUGUCCUAAUAAACCAUGUUUCUUCGAGAGUAUCCCUAUCGAGUUAUUGUCUGCUAUCAUUUAUCCUAAAUGUGUAUUGAAGAUUCCAUAGAAUCUUUUCUAAGUUUUUAUGGAAUUUUAUGAAAGAAGAAAAGGCAAAGAACCGAGUGUCAUAGCAGAAUAUCUAUCUUCCCUAAAUUAAAGGUGGUUUAGGUUUUAGAUAUCUUUAUGAUGUGUCAGAGGCUUUAUUUGCUAAAUUGUGGAGGAUUUUUAGGACUAAGUCCUUAUGGGCCAAUUUUAUAAGGAACAAAUAUUGGAAAAGGCUUCUCAAAUAUGGAAACAUAUGCUAUAUAAUGACCCUUAGGUUAUUUUCUGUAUUUCCAUACUAUUGCAAUGUCUAGAGGUUUUCCAUAGUUUCCUCAAGUUAUUUAUGACUUGCUGGAGAUGACAAUUUAGUUACUGGAGAGUUCGUUAAGUUUUUAGAGUCAAUUCCCUAUUUUGAAGUUCUCACUGUUGAGAAUUGGUUAUCGGGCUUAAACUUUAGGUUAACAUCGUCAUAUACCAAUUCUAAUAGUUUUGCUAGAUCUAAAAUGUUGAUUUUAGGCUUGGGGGACCUUUGGUUUGGGUCCUAAGGAUUUCAAACUCGUGUUAGGCUAUUGGGUGGAUUUUGGUUAAAAUAGUCAUUGAGUGUGCGAUCCACAUUUUAUUGAAAUGAACUCAGCUGGAAAUUUUGAUGGCACAGUUGAGAGAAUAUUGAUUUUGGUAGGGUAGCAUAGCUCAUUUGCAUUCACAUAAUUCUGAAUGAAUCCUGAAGGUCCACUCAGAAACUUGACAAAUACCAAGUGUAGUUGGUGCAGCAUCAGCUGGUGCAGCGCAAAAAUAGCCUUCACAUUCAUGAUGGCCAUGGAAAAUUGGCUACCACAAUCAUGAUGACCUUGGCCGCAUCUGCGAAGGCCAAGUUUACUAGCCAUCGCAUUUGCGAGCUUGCCUUCGCAUUCACAAAGAGUAUUCUCUGGGUCGAACUAGGCAUUCUUUCUUGAGAUCGAGGUGGACCGGCCGUGUUCGUGAAGGGUAAGUUGGAUUGAGCCCUGCAUUUGCAGAGGGGUCCUCACCUUCACGAUGAAGGGACCCCAAGCAGUAUAUAUGCUGCCAAACCCAAUUUUUCUCCCAUUUUCAAGUCUCAACUUCCAUUAAUAUCCCUAGAGAGCUAAGAGAGUGAGAGGAUCGAUACAUGGGUGUUUAGGGUGAGUUAGAGAGUUUGGGGGAUGUUUUUCCAUCAAGAAUUAUUGUAAAUUUUCUUAUAUUUCUUAUUUAAGUCUCUACUUUAAUCUCGAAAUCCCUAACACUUUGUGGGCUGAUUUGAGGGAGCAAUUUUGCUCGUAUUCAUCAUUUUUUUAGGAUAAAUGAUCCUUGAGCCUAGAAGAGCGUUUUGGCGGUUUCAAAGUUGUGAUCUUGCAACUAGCCCCACAUGGGAUUUUUAGCUCAAUUUCGGAACCAAAGAAUUUAUAUGCAAUAUGGGUAUUUUUAUUCUUGUAUUAAUGUGUAUAUCAUUAUUUUGAUAGUGUAGCAUCGUACAAAGGCUUCCUGGAAGGUAAAAUCUCUAAUUUAGUGGAUUUUCUUGGGCAUUCUUCGAUGUACAGGUAGGUUAGGCUUACUUUUCUCAUAUAUUGAGCUAUAUUAUUGUACUGGUGUGGUCUUAUGCUAGAUUUGGGUUGGAAAUUAUGACUUGAUUGUAUGUUUAGCGAAAUUUGGAAUAUUUAGCCGAUUAGUGAAUCGUGUUUAGGUAGAAUUGACCUGUUCAUCCUUUCCUUGGAUUAAACUAAGACAUUAGGACAUAUUGGACUUAUUUUACUCCUUGUAGUAGGUCUUGGAAGCCUUAGUCUAGUUUUUGGUAGAAAUUGUCUUAGUAUGAAUUUUUGGGUUUUAGUAGCGGGCUCCGUCGACCCUCUUUAAGGUCAAACAUCUGAAGUAGCUCCCGAUAGAUCUAGGAGGCCUUCUCUCAUUAUUAUAUAAAUAUUCUUGGACCCUAAGAUGAUUUAGUCAAUUUUCAAUUAUCGACUAGAUUUAGUAACCUGUAUUUACUUUAAAGACUGGUUCGAGCCCAACACUUACUAUUCAUUUAUGAUGCUUAAAGACCAAUUUGAGUUUGACAUAUAUUAAUCACUUAUUAUAUAAAAGUUUGGUUUGAGUUUGACAAUUAUGGUUCACUUAUGAUGACUAGGGAUCCGGUUCGAGUCCAAUGUUUGUUGUAUGAAAGGAUUAACAGAUAUGGUUUUGGUGGCCAAUUACUUUAUAAUUACUAUUGUUUUUAUUUUUCCCUUAAUUACGUCCAUUGAGCUUAUGGAGACUCGUUUGGAUUAUCCUUCUCUUGUUUGCGCCUUCUAGGCUUAUGGGGGUCAAGUUAGGCUAUAGUUGACUUGUAUUCUUUUGAUAUUAUCUAUUGUAUUAUUUAUUAUCUAUCAGCUGGAGUGUUGUUUCAGGUUUUCCCUUUUUAUCCCUGACUUUAUUUUACAUUCACGCAUUUUAUUAUGCUUUUAUUAUGAUUUAGCUUAGUUGACUGAUAUGCCUACUGGGUACCCAUUGGUUUUGUACUCCUACUAUGCUUCUGCAUCUUUUUCUAAUACAGAUCCAAGUACUAGCUAUCACCACUGACAUUCUAUCCAGCACAAUCUAGAGUUCGAUGAUAGGGUGAGCUUUUGGAGUCGGAGUUGAUUCUCUCUCCUUAUGUUAGUUUUGGAAAAUCUUUUUGACACUAUUUGUAUAUUGACAUUAUUCAUUCUCUUAUUCUUUUGAUUAGUGACUCUUACCGACCUUACUAGGUCGUGAGAUACUUUUUUGCUCUUUCUCUCUCUUAUUUAUAUAUAUGCCAUCCUUUUAAUAUUAUAUCGCCUACAAUCUAUUUGUAUGCUUAAUUCUCAAUAGUCAUCAUACCUUCCACCAAAUAGCCUAUUAUUUGUCAUUCUGAGUUGUGAUUUGGCUUACCUACUGGUUGGUUAAUGUAAUACCCCAAACUUUUUCAAGCUUAAAUUCAUUCAUAGAAUGUUAUGGGAUAUCUUCCAAAAUGAUUAAUAUUUGUUUCGCAUAGAAUUUUCUAGAUUUCAACUUUUCAUCAUGUGGGAAAUUAAAUAAGCUUUCCAUCGAUAUCAAAUUUGCCCAAAUCCGACACUCGGUGAAGAAGUUAGAGCACUUUUAAGUUGACAGCGUGCCAACUAGGCAGUCACCGCGUCGCGGUGAAGGACAAUUUCAUAAUCUUCACUUACCAGUGGACCACCGCGAUGUUGGCACGUCGCGGCGAGGUCCAAAUUCCCAUUUGUUAAUUUCCAGUGGACCUCUGUGAUAUUGGUGCGUCGCGGAGAGGUCCAUUUUUCCAAUUGUAGAAUUCCGUAGCCUAACGCGAUAGGGGCGUAUCGCACCGAAGGCCAAAAUGGCAUUUCUAUAGGGCACCGCAAUGGUGGCGCAUCGCGUUGAAGUUUCAGGUCCCAAUUGUCAAAACCUAGUGGGACAGCGCAAUAGCUCCGCAUCGCGGUGGACCCCAAUUUCCCAUUCGUCAGUUUUCAGUGAGCCAGCGCGAUAGUGGCACAUCGCGGUGGCCUAUUAAAUCGGGACCCAGUUACGUUUUUUUUUUCAGUUUCGUUUAGAAGUGAAAAAGGGCAUUUUGGACUUUUUCCCAGCACCCAAUUCCAUCUAAACACAAGAUUUAGGGCUAUUACAAACAUCUUAUGGUAUAUUUCUCAAGAUUUCUCUCAACUAAAAACCCUAAGCUUCAACAAUCAACCUCAAGAAUCUCAAGAUUCCACCAUCCUUUUUCCAAAUUAAUUCAAGAUUCCCAACACAAGAAUUCCAAGAACCAUAAUUCAAGAGUACAAAUAGAGUCUCAAAAGCAAGGUUGUUCAUCUAGUUCAACAUCCAAGGUAUGUGGGGUUUGAACAAGGACAAGUCUUUCGUUCUUGUGCCCAAAAAACUUGAAUUUUAUUAAAGAUUACAUGAUUUACAAGUUGGGGUUUAUACCCAAAGCAUCUUGUUUUAAGUUUAUGAAGAUAUAAGUGAUUUAAGCCUUGAAUUGCAUAUUUAUCCCACCUAUUUAUGCUUUGAAUUGAGGAUUUAUAUCAUGAAUUGCACAUUCCCAUUGUGAAUUGAUAUUUUCAAGUGUUUCCAAGAUAAUUGUUGAGAAUUAAGCUUCAUUAUGAAAUUGUGAUCAUUUAAGUACAUAUGCUUUAAACCCAAGUAAGAAUUUUGAUAUUUCAUGAAGAGUAUAUUGUUAGCAUGCUUUAACAAGCAAGCAUUCAGAUUUUAAAGAAAGAUUGAUCUUCCGAACCUAAGCUAAGAUAGGAAUCCACAUUAUUUAUGAUUUAAAGCAAAGAGAACUAUAAUUGGUUUUCAUUAUAAACCCUUGUGCUGUUUUAAGGUGAAUUUCCUAAAAGUUCUGAGCAAUAAGUAUGGGAGUAGUAUUUAGCACUGAGUUGGGUAUGAUUCCAAGGUCUCAUUCCCCAAAACUACGAGCCACGUUGGUUCUAAACGCCCAUAGUAGGCUAAGAUAGUGAUCACUAAAGUUAAGGUUCUAUUCCGAUGGCAAGGGUAGAACAGCUCUCUCCAAUGUGGGCAAGACGUUAGACUCCAUGUCAGCUCACAUGGUUUAUGUCGGUUAGAAGAAACUCCCUGAGUCCCAAAGUCCCUAAGUCCCAAAGUUCCAAGAUUUCCAAAGCUCCCAAAGCUUAUGAGUUUCAAAAGAAAAGAAUGAUAGAAAAACUUUUAUAAGACUAAGUGUUAUGACUCACUAGAUUCACAAGUAUGAUUUGUUAUACAUGAUUUUAUAUUUUGAUAUUUUAGAUAAUCAAGCUUAUGUGAGUCAUAUACAUCCACAUGCAUUUACUUUCUAAUUAUGAUGAUGUUUACUUAUGCAUUACACCCUAUAUACUCAGUACAUCCUUAAAGUGCUGAUCCACAUAUAUGUCUAUGAGCUACAUUGUCUUAUAAUGUAGGUUCAGGUGCUCAGUAUCAUCAACGUGAGUAGUUCAAGCAUCUCUAUCUACGCUCCCACAGUUGGUGAGUCCUCAUGAUUUGAGGGCCUACUUUUUCAGAUUUCCAGCUUUCAUAGUAAUUGAGUUAUCAUUUUAAGUUUAGACCGACUCAGUUGGGGGUCUGUCCCAAUGGCUCUCUAGUUCUUUAGUAGUAAAGGCUCGUCGGACUACGAGUUUAAUUACAGACUUUUAGUAUUUGUUAUUCAGACAGUACGUACGUUUAUUCAGUUCAGUUUUUGGUAUAAUAUAAUAUUAUUUCUUGAUUAGAUUAUCUUAAAGUAAGGUUCAGAUCUAGUAGCAGGCUCAAAGGGUUAGCUUGGGACUAUUCAUAGCCUUGAGCACCGUGGGACGUCUUGGGAUUAGAUUUUGGGGCGUUACAGUUAAAGAGGUGCCAUUAUGACCUGACAAACUAGGUCCUGACAUGCUAUCAGCUAGAGACAGUGUUGAUCAGGAGAUUUAGUGAAAACCUAGAUGUGGUCAUUCUAGCAUUUGGUUUGACAAUUGGACGCAAUUAGGAGAUCUUCCGUAUUACUUCCCUAUUAAUCACAACAUUGAUGAGAACUUUGAUGAUAUGAGUUAACUACUAAAUCAAGAAAGUUGGAAUGAAGAAUUAAUGAUGGAUAUUCUUAAUGAAGAUGUUUGUAAUCAGGCGAGACAAGUGAUUAGGGUAAUUCAUAAUAGGGAUGACUGGGAUAAGGCAUGGUGGAUGCUAAGCAGUAUAGGAAAGUUUUCUGUUAAAUAUACGUGGGAGUUACUUAGACAGAGAAGACCACCUCUAGAUUUGAUCACCUCUAGAGUUGACCAUGAUUUUUUGGGAAUCAGGAAUCCCUUUCAUAGUCUCUUUCCUUACUUGAAGUCUUUGGAAGAAAAGGAUUCCUAUUGGAGAGGUUUUAGUGAAAAUAAAAGUGGUUAAAGAUAUGGUUUGUUGUUAAUACAACAAUAGUGAGCAUGAAACUUUUGACCACUUGUUCAUGAAGUGUCUAGAUUCAAACUACUCAUGGAGUAUAUUUGCAGGACCUGUAGGAGUACCUAGUCCUUUUGUGAUGUGGUGGAGUGCAGACACUAGUGCAAAACUGAAGCCUUUGUACUAGGUUGUUCCCAUUUUUAUUGUCUGACAGGUAUGAAAAAGAAGGAAUAGGAUUAGAAAUGGAGGAAGAAUGUAAACGACUAGCUUUUUGAUGAAAUAUGUGAAUUGUGUGUUUUUGUGUAAUUUGAUUGUUUCACCCCUCCCCAUAACUGUAUUAUGGUAUUUUUGGGAUGUAGGGGGUGAUUGGCAUGGUUCUCGAUGCAUUUUGGUACCAUUUAUGUAUAUUGUGGUUUUUGAUGACUUCCAAAGCUUUAUUUUAAACUUAUGUGGAUAUCUUUUGAUCUGUACGAUGGAUGGCUGAACGAACUACGCCAACAACUCCAGAAUAUUAAUUUUAGGCUAGGUAGACCUUUGGUUUGGGUCCUAGUGCAUUCAAGUUCAUUUCGACCUAUUGGUCAGAAAGUUGAAAAAUUGAAAAUAUGGGUGUGGGACCCACGUUUGGUCAAAACAACCUCAGAUAAAAAAUCUAACUUUUCCAGUAGAUUCAAAACGUCGAUUAUAGGGUGAUAACAUAUUUGAUGUGAUUUUACGGCUUUUCAAUCUCAUUUUGACCCUCGAUUUGGAAAAUUAUAAUUUCGGAUUUCGGUUGUCAACUAUGUGAAAAUGAUAUUUUUUUGAAAAUCUGAAAUCACCAUUGAAUUUGGAGAGUCAAAUUUAGUGUGGUUACAUAGUUUGUUUAUUUAUAUUAGACUCCGAACGAAUUCUGAGCACCCCAUCGAAGUUUGUCCGGACUUAUAAAAAAAUUGGUGUAGAUUUUUCUGCAUUAUUAAUAGCAGUUUUCAAGCCCAUUUUGUUCAUUUUUCAUCUGGCCUCUUGAGAGUUAAACCCUAAAAAUAGUGUGGGAGCUUAAAAGUGAAGCUUGUGGAAGCUUGGGAAGCAAGAUUAACAUCUAUUUCUUGAUUCUAUUACGGAUUUAAGGUAAGAAUUCAACAUAUUCUUAGUCAUUUCUUGAUUAAUUUCUCAACACCUCAAAAAUCUUAGGGCUUGAUUUUAAACCUCAAUUUCACUCCUUUUUCACUUGAAUAAUAUUUUAAUCUUAUAAUUAUGAGUGUUUCAUCAAUUUAACAUUCAAAACAAUUCCAAUUCUUAGUUUUCACCCGAAUUUCAAAGAUUUUAUCUAGUACAACUUAAAAAUAGUUUUUCUUUGAUUUUAACCUUAUUUUUGACUCGAUUUGACUUGAAUUUUCAUAUGUAGGAUCCUACAAAUAUGGGAAACACGUUUUUGAAGUAAAGUUAUGAUUUUGCUCUUCUUUUUCAAAAAUCCAUUUCGGGGAGUUUGUUUUGACCCCGAACCAAAAAAAUUACUCAAUAUGGGUGUCGUUGAUUUUGUUUUGAUGCGUAGAUUCCAUAUUUGAUGUUUUUAGUGAAGCUCGGUACCAUUUGUGAGGAGUAAAACUUUGGGAGCAAAGUCUUGAUUCCGAUAUUUUAGUUUUUGAGGUAGGUUAUGACUUAACUCUUUCAGACUGGGCUAGUAGUAAAUGAUGGUAGAAAAUACAUGUUGAGGCUGAGAACUAAUCAUGAAAAAUGGGUAUCUAUGUGUGUUUCCAUGUGGGGGCCUAUAUGUAAUGUAAUUGUUGAAAUUAAGAUAUUAUGUGAUAGUGUGAUCGUGUGCGAUCCUAUGUGAUGUAGAUAGCCUUAAAUAUAUAUGAAUAAUUGUAUUGUGUUGUUGAAAUGUCUAAUGUGAUGUCAUUGGUGUAUUGAGAUAUAUUCAUACUUGUUAUAUGAGACGUGUAAAUUCAUGGAUGAAACAAAAAUAAUAAGUGAAUUAUUGGCUCAUGUGGUUGUGGAAAUGUAUAAUUAUGGUUGGUUGUGGAAAUAUAUUAUUGUGGCUGGUUAUGAAAAUACUCAUUGUGAUUGGUUGUGGUCAUUACAUCUUCAUAUCAUACUCAUUCAUGAAACAUUGGUACCACCAUGGCAACAUCUGAAAAACACUGACAAUACCUUUAAUAAAACCCUCCCCAAGGGAAGUGCUGGGAGGAGAUAUUGCAACACCUUAUAAAACUCUUUCCGAGAGACAUGUCAAAAAGUUCAUAUGAGAUAUGUGGAUUGUAUACGGAUUGACGAACUCCCCAUGGGUCCUAUCCUACAUCGAGAAGCUUUAGUUCCGUAGGUGUAUACAGGGAUUGUGCGACGAUCCCGGAGGUUGUGCAACGACCUCGUGCAUCAUCAUCAUUAUCAUAUACAUUGUACUUACUUUAUUAUGUUUAUGUUGUUUUGUAUUGCCAUAUUGACUUGUCAUCUAUGUAUUUCUCUUACCUUCCUUUACUUAUAUUUGAUGAUCUUGUAUCCACAUGUUCUCCUUUGUUCUACUUAUAUGUGGCAUAAUGCAUUCUUGUGUUCUAUCUUGGUGUGUUAUUGUAAUAUAGGUGAUAUAUUAGAACUGUUAGUGUAACCGGUGUAAGCUAUCGUUGUGAGAUAUUUUCUGAUUACAGAUGACAUACCCUUAGUGUGUAUUUUGUAUGCUUCAUUUUUUCUACUUUGCUUGGUUGGUCUAUGAUACCUACUUAGUAUAAGUGGACCGUACUCACUCCUACUUCAUCCUUUUGGUGCACCUUUAGGUUCGAGUGCGCCUUAGACUAGUUAAUUUUUGGGCACCUUCAGAUUACUCAAGGUAGCGGUUGGACAUUCAUACGUCCGUAGUUCACCUCUAUCUUUCUAUAUUAGUUAUGUCUUUAUUAGUAUUUGGAGACAGAUAUUAUUCCUUUGUGGUUAUUUUUCUGAUGUAUUUGACUCCUGGAUAGUAUUAGUAGUUCUUACACCAUUGACAACAGGUUUUGGGAGUUAUGGCUGCAUGUGUUGAUUUUAUUUUUUCCACUUGUAUUAUAUCUAUAUGGUUCAGCUUUAUUCUAGAAGCCUUAUCUUGGGGGGCAUUUCUAUUUUUUUUUGUGUGUAUCAGUUUGGGUGAGACUUACUUGUCAAGGUUCGCCGCGACAAGUGCCAUCAUGACCCUUAUUUUUGGGUCGUGACAAGGAAUGUUAAAACAUGACAUGGUUAUGGAGAUUAACAGGAAUCUGUAUAUGUUUCCAAAAUUAGAUUCCCUUGGCUUAAGGAAAUCCCUGAUUCAUGGCCAAUGAUAGUUAAAAUGUUUGAAGAGUACACCCUCAUUGUUUCUUGCAAAAUUGUCUGACGGAAACAUCCGUAAAGGGAUUACAAAUGUAAUUUAGAUGGGGCAUAAAUAGAAUUCUGGGCCUUAUGCUAGUGGCUUUUGCAUAAAAAAUAAAGAUGAAGACUUUAUUUAUGCUGCAUCAAACACAGUUAAAGAGGGGUCUGGACUAGAAGCUGAGGUGAAAGCUAUGAGAUUAGCCCGGGAGUUUUGUAUAGGCAAAAAUCUGUUACCUCUGACCAUGGAAAUAUAUUCCCUCAUAAUCAAUAAGAUUCUUGAUGGUAUAUGAGAGAUGCCCUGGACAAUUACCAUAGAGAUAAUAAGGAUAAAACAAUUGAUGGAGAAUAAUUUGGAGGAUGUGGAGCAUACAUUUCGAGAAGGCAAUAAAUUGACCGAUUUUUUCACUAACAUUAUUUUUAGUUUUGCAGGUACAAAUAACAUACAAUUUAGCUCAAUACAGGAGGUUCUGGAAUAAGAAAGGAAAAUCAUAAAUUUAGAGAAAAACAAAACUACAUAUUUAAGGAUAAGGAAACGUCACAACAGGUGUUUCAAUCAACCACAGGGACAAACACAAUCACACAAGCAGAUUGAUUUAAACAUACAAAUAACCAGCUGAAGUGGGCUAUAAUAAAAAUGAACUGAGAAAGUAGGAAGAAAGGACUUGCCCUUUAGCUCUGAGCCUUUUGCAGAGGUAUUAGCUUCAAGGAGAUCAUUUUGCAAAGGGUAAGGAAAUGAAAAAAAAAUCAAUCAAAAAAGCAUUUCAUACCAAAUUAUGGGAAUUGGAAUUUGACUUUACCUCAUCGUGAAGAGCUGGAAUACUGGUAAUGAGCUGAAGAAGUCUUCAACGAGUUGAAUUCAUGGCGCCUGUGAGAAUUUGUUGGGUGUUUAAGUUAACAUCAGUCAAUCACACUGAUGAUAUAAACCGUCUUCUACGAGAUGAUAAGAUCAAUGAGAUCUAUGGGUGCAGCAGUUCGCAAGUCACCGACAAUGGUUGGCCGAUCAACCAGGGAUUUAGUACUUUGGAGCUUUUACAGAUUUCCUAAUUUGGUUGUAAAUAUUAGCUUAGACUUGUUUUGUCUGUUUUUUGUUAUUUCGGGUAUGGGCUUUGGUCUCUUUUGGGACAUUGCCCAUUACCAUUUGAACCUUUGUUUUCUGAUUUUCUAAUAAAUGGCAUGGCCCGUAUUUACUUUAAACUACCCUCCUUCAUCAUAAAAAAUAUUUCACUUUAUUCAAGAAUUGUGGUUUGGUUAUAAAAU
rnacentral:lncRNA from 1 species